rnacentral:rRNA from 1 species
GUCGAACGCUAGGAUUCAAAGGGGAGCCCGACUGUCGCCGGCCUUGCGGCGCGUGCACGUCGCUCUUCGGACCCUCCGAAGCUUCAACCUUCUUCACACCCGUGUGCACCCGUUGUAGGUCCUUCGGGAUCUAUGUCUCCUCUCUCGAACUCGCAUGUCUACAGAACGUGUGUGUCGCGUCGACCGGCGUCCGCGUCGGCGACCGCAAACCUUUUGUACAACUUUCAGCAAUGGAUCUCUUGGCUCUCGCAUCGAUGAAGAACGCAGCGAAUCGCGAUAAGUAAUGUGAAUUGCAGAUUUUCCGUGAAUCAUCGAAUCUUUGAACGCACCUUGCGCUCCCCGGUAUUCCGAGGAGCAUGCCUGUUUGAGUGUCAUCGAAAUCUCGAACCGACGCCUUCGAUCAGCUCGAAGCUCGGUCUCGGAACGUGGGGGUCUGCGGGCGGCGACGUCGGCUCCCCUGAAAUGCAUCAGCUGUGGGCACGAGCCCCGCGUGGCACGGCCUCCUCGACGUCGUAACGAUCGUCGUGGGCUGGAAGCGCGUGGAUCGACGGUCCCAUGCUUUCCAACCUUUCUUUGUCUCGAAGCUUGACCUCAAAUCAGGUAGGACUACCCGCUGAACUUAAGCAUAUCAAUAAGCGGAGGAAAAAAACUAACGAGGGAUUCCCUAGUANCUGCGAGUGAAGCGGGGAANAGCUCAAAUUUUGAAUCUGGGGGUCGUGG